AGCACUAUAUUUAAACCUAUUGAUGGGAAUUUUCCCCAUUCUAGGUUACGCUGUAGUGCAAAAGCAUUCCUGGCUCUUCAUGUUGCACAGCUGAGUUCGAGCCAUUCUGCUGUUGCUGUAUAGAGUGAAGGAACAUAA
ensembl:snoRNA